rnacentral:rRNA from 1 species
AAAACUUUCAACAACGGAUCUCUUGGUUCCAGCAUCGAUGAAGAACGCAGCGAAAUGCGAUAACUAAUGUGAAUUGCAGAAUUCAGUGAAUCAUCGAGUCUUUGAACGCACAUUGCGCCCCUCGGUAUUCCGGGGGAUAUGCCUGUUCGAGCGUCAUUA